rnacentral:lncRNA from 1 species
GCAUUCUUCCAUAAUUGAUGACUUCUUCUUUCCCUUAAUCAAAGAACCACAUCCUGGGGCUAUCAAUGAGGACCCAUGGGAGAACGCCAUAAGCUGUUUAUUUAGAGCAUGCUGGAGAGUAGGAGGUCCCCCACUACUGAGCCGGCGAGGACAGGAAGAGGAAAUCCGCACGUGUAGCUGAGAAAGUGGUGCAGCGCUGAAGGACGUUAUUUGCCUGCGUAUUAGACUAUUACAGGCUGACUCAUCGGAGGGUACGGGAUGAAAAAGGGCAACAACUGUUGGCGUCCCGCUGUGGGGCCUCUUCUGGAGCAGAGUGUGUGAAGAGGUUGGUCUAAUUAUCAGUGUGAGGAGCUCACACCUGAACCUGCCAGUCUGUA